rnacentral:rRNA from 1 species
UACGAAGGGGGCUAGCGUUGCUCGGAAUCACUGGGCGUAAAGGGUGCGUAGGCGGGUCUUUAGGUCAGGGGUGAAAUCCCGGAGCUCAACUCCAGAACUGCCUUUGAUACUGAGGAUCUUGAGUUCGGGAGAGGUGAGUGGAACUGCGAGUGUAGAGGUGAAAUUCGUAGAUAUUCGCAAGAACACCAGUGGCGAAGGCGGCUCACUGGCCCGAUACUGACGCUGAGGCACGAAAGCGUGGGGAGCAAACAGG